rnacentral:rRNA from 1 species
AUUGAACGCUGGCGGCAUGCCUUACGCAUGCAAGUCGAACGGUAACAGGUCUUCGGAUGCUGACGAGUGGCGAACGGGUGAGUAAUACAUCGGAACGUGCCUAGUAGUGGGGGGUAACUACUCGAAAGAGUGGCUAAUACCGCAUGAGAUCUAUGGAUGAAAGCAGGGGAUCGCAAGACCUUGUGCUACUAGAGCGGCCGAUGGCAGAUUAGGUAGUUGGUGGGAUAAAAGCUUACCAAGCCGACGAUCUGUAGCUGGUCUGAGAGGACGAUCAGCCACACUGGGACUGAGACACGGCCCAGACUCCUACGGGAGGCAGCAGUGGGGAAUUUUGGACAAUGGGCGAAAGCCUGAUCCAGCAAUGCCGCGUGCAGGAUGAAGGCCUUCGGGUUGUAAACUGCUUUUGUACGGAACGAAAAGCCCCGGGUUAAUACCCUGGGGUCAUGACGGUACCGUAAGAAUAAGCACCGGCUAACUACGUGCCAGCCGCCGCAGUAA